rnacentral:rRNA from 1 species
GAUGAACGCUAGCGGGAGGCCUAACACAUGCAAGCCGAGCGGUAUUGUUUUUUCGGAAAUGAGAGAGCGGCGUACGGGUGCGGAACACGUGUGCAACCUGCCUUUAUCUGGGGGAUAGCCUUUCGAAAGGAAGAUUAAUACUCCAUAAUAUAUUGAACGGCAUCGUUUAAUAUUGAAAGCUCCGGCGGAUAGAGAUGGGCACGCGCAAGAUUAGCUAGUUGGUGAGGUAACGGCUCACCAAGGCGAUGAUCUUUAGGGGCCUGAGAGGGUGAUCCCCCACACUGGUACUGAGACACGGACCAGACUCCUACGGGAGCAGCAGUGAGGAAUAUUGGUCAAUGGGUGCAAGCCUGAACCAGCCAUCCCGCGUGAAGGACGACUGCCCUAUGGGUU